ACAAACUAUUACUCCUAUAAAAUAGGAACAAGAUCCUUCGAUCCACCAAUGGCCCUACAGUGGUGAUAAAGAGUGACAUCUCAAUCCUUCUUUUCACACUCCACCAACUCAUUAUCAACAUUUGGUGCACUAGAAGAAAAGAAAUUCUCAAAACAACCAUCACAUGAAGCCUCAUCUUAUUGAUCAUUUGCAGAAAUCUCUAUAGAAG
rnacentral:lncRNA from 1 species